rnacentral:tRNA from 1 species
UGGACACAUAACUCAGUUAGGUAGAGUAUUGCGUUGACAUCGCAAAAGUCGCUGGUUCGAAUCCAGUUGUGUCCAAC